CUGCCGUUCUUUACCUUCUCGCCCUCAUGCCAGGCAGCACUCCCCUUAACCCACCCAGUCAUAAUCUAACCCACAGCGAAAAUGUAGGCAACUUCAUGUUUCUCAACUCUGUCAUGGUUUCUCCUGGAUGAAACUGCCCAUUUCCCAAUCCUUUAUGAGGAGCAGAAAGGAGGGUGUUGCUGUCACUCCACAGGAAAAUGAGCCCAAUGUCUAAGGUCAUCUCAGGAGUGACUGCUAUUCAGUGGGACCUAGUGAUGGGAAGCUACCACCUUGGAAAAGCAGGAAUUAGGUAGCCUAGUAUUCCUUUUUCCUCAAAAGAAAGUUUUACACUAUGCAAGACUUGAUAAAAAAUGUAUAUAACUUUUGUUACAGAGUGUACAAAUAAAUGAGUACACCCACAACCUAAUUAAGAAAUAGAAUAUUUCUAUCACUAAAGUUCCACAUUUGCCACCCCCCAGCGAAAGCCACUCUCCUGAAUGGUUUAUCAUCCCCUUACUUUUUCAACAUUAUAAAAAUAAUAAAUUCAUAAACACAACAUAUAAACACUAUAGCAGCAUUAACUAUGUUAAUACAUCAAUUGUAUCAACACGUAAUAUGUAAAAGUCUUGUUACACAAGAAAGAGGUAACACGGCAGGCCAGACUGCUCUCCUUUCAAGGGCAUCCGUACAAGGUUGGCCCUCUACUAGCAUCUGGGAUUAGGAUUUCAAGGAGAGUUCUCAUCAUUCCACAACUGGUAAGAGUGGCUCAUUGUGCCUAAACUGUGUGUACAAACAACAUGGUUUACCCUGAACACCUGCUUUCCUUUUGGAAGUUUGGGAUUUGGGUACGUGCAAGGCAGAGGCAGCCUAGGCCACCGCCUCCCAGUAAGACCCUGGUACUGAGCGUCCAACAGCUUCCCUGGCUGAUGCCCAGUAAUACCUGUUGUCAGCAGUCACUGCCGAGAGAGAGAAGCGUGCACUGUGUGACUCCACUGGGAGACGAGUCCUGGAAGCCUGGCUUCCUCCAGACUUCACCCCACGUGCCUUGCCUUUUUGUGAUUUUGCUUUGUAUCCCUUCACUAUAAGAAAUCUUAGGCAUGAAUGUGACUACAAACUAAAUCCUGUGAGUCAUCCUACUACAUCGCUGAAUCCCUAGCAUAACUGCAUAAUGUGUAUUAUAUAUACUACAUAAAAAAUUACACAAAUGUAAUUAGAUUUGUAAUUUUGUUAUAUUUCCAAAGAACAUCUGAUUCCAUGAAAAAUGGAAUGAUACUGUAUAUUUCUGAGACUAAUUUUACUUAACAUUAUUUCUAAAACUGAUCCAUGUUUUACAAUGUAUGGCUACGGCUCAUUCAUCUUCCACUUAUAAAAAGAAUUCCAUCGUAUGAUUACAUCACAAUUUAUGUAUUCACUCUGCAGUUGAUGACUAUUGCAUUGUUUCCAUGUUUUUGCUAUCCUGAGCAGCACAGCUAUGACCUGAUUCUCUCUCCCAGUGUGUUCCCAAGGCUCAAGUACACACCAUGGCUAUGAACACUAAGGAAGACUGAAUUCUAAAAAAAAAAAAA